rnacentral:lncRNA from 1 species
GUUGAUAAUAAUGGUUGGAACCAUAUUUUGAGUUUUUGGACGAAUUUUUGGCUCAAAAUUUCCAUAAGUGUGAGUUAUUAAGUUAAAAAGCUAUAAAUCAAAGUUUUAUGGUAUUUAAGUACUUUUUUUGUGAGAUAUAAAGAAAUUAGAAUGUGGAUGUAUGUAAGCUAGGGUUUAAAGCUAUUGUUAGGAUUUUGGUGAUAUCUCA